GUGGGUACACGUCAACAGCCCCCUAGUUUUUCUUGUUACUGUUUUAAUGAAUAUUUCCCAUUAUUGGCACAGGUGUAGUUUAAUUUGAGGUAUGUAUAGUGAAAAGUGUAUAUGCAGGUAUUUAUAGUGAAAAGUGAGGUAUUUAUAGUGAAAAGUGUAUAUGCAAUCUGUUUUAUCCGUUACCAUAGCAACCAUGGUGAAUUACAAAAACUUGGCUAAUUGGAGCAUAGUUCAAUAGCUCAGCUACCACAAGAAGCAUUUUCACUUAGAUACAUCACAUAAUUAUUAUGUGAGUUUUUCUUUUUUUUUGGGGGGGGGGGGCGAAGAGGCCUAUAAAAGCCAGUUUUCCAUAUACUACUUCCUUGUCAAAUUUCAGUCCGAUACAUGGAAAAUGUUUUGUCUCAGCUGAUAACUAAAGAUCUAUAGUUUCUAAAAAUAUAUAGUUUAUGCAUAUUUUGUUUAAUUUAAAAAUAUGCCUAUACCAGUUGUUAAAAUUUUGUCCAUUUUGAAGUACAAUUGGGAUGAAGUUCCCCCUUAACAAAAAAAAUAGGUACACUAGGUGUACAUGCAUCUGCGCAAAGAAAAUGCAUCGUUCCUAUGAAAAAAAUUUCAUGCACAAUUAUUGAGUAAACAUUUAUAUAUUUUAGAAGCGACUAUACAGCCACAGCCGACUACUUAGUAAACUGCUGGCUAUACAGCAAGCUAUUUAGUAAAAUGCUGGCUAUAUAGUAGUAUCCUUCGCACACGCUCUUUGUGUCGAGGUUUCUCCCCACGAGCGACUUCUCACCCGAGCACAACUUUCCAUUCCCUUUGUUUUACGUUGGCCAAUCAGAUUUAGCAACAUAAAUAUCUAAAUAAAUUUAGCGACAUAAAUAUCUUAAUAAGUCCAAGGUCAUAACUGCUAACCAUAACCUUUUGAAAGUUAGAAAAGGUGGGAAAAAAGUUUUUAAAAUUAUUUAAGAAAAAAAUAUUCUAAUUCAGACAAAACACAACCCGACCCGGACUGCGUAUCACUUUCCGCACGCAACGCCUUUAUACGCUAAUGGCAAGCUUGGUAAAACCGUAAAAGCUAGCACAAGCAAAAGUUUUUACAUUUAACUAUAGUCAC